CAGUCAUGCUAGUGAAAAAUCAGUUUGACGGGUUUCGAGUUCUUGAGUAGAGGCAGGGUCAAACCGUUUCUCUUUUGGACUUGAGAUUUGUCAGAUGCACUUUUUCUUUGGUAGGUCAGCGUCGAUUUCGGAGGUUGUAAAAUACUUGGGGAAAAGUAGCUCUGCUUCGGGAGAGUGUUAUAGACCCGUGGGGGAUGCAGCCUGCGGGAUCGAGGAUUGCAGCAAAUGCCUUUGGCUUGUCGCCUGAUCUCUGGAUG
rnacentral:rRNA from 1 species